rnacentral:rRNA from 1 species
GAUGAACGCUGGCGGCGUGCCUAAUACAUGCAAGUCGAGCGAACAGACGAGGAGCUUGCUCCUCUGACGUUAGCGGCGGACGGGUGAGUAACACGUGGAUAACCUACCUAUAAGACUGGGAUAACUUCGGGAAACCGGAGCUAAUACCGGAUAAUAUAUUGAACCGCAUGGUUCAAUAGUGAAAGACGGUUUUGCUGUCACUUAUAGAUGGAUCCGCGCCGCAUUAGCUAGUUGGUAAGGUAAUGGCUUACCAAGGCAACGAUGCGUAGCCGACCUGAGAGGGUAAUCGGCCACACUGAAACUAGAAAACGUCCAGACUCCUACGGGAGGCAGCAGUAGGGAAUCUUCCGCAAUGGGCGAAAGCCUGACGGAGCAACGCCGCGUGAGUGAUGAAGGUCUUCGGAUCGUAAAACUCUGUUAUUAGGGAAGAACAAAUGUGUAAGUAACUAUGCACGUCUUGACGGUACCUAAUCAGAAAGCCACGGCUAACUACGUG